CUUGUCCAUAAACAGCAAAAAACAGUUUACUAUAAACUACAAACCUUUAAAAUGUAAAACAUGUUCUAAUUCCGAGCAUUAACAAAGAUUGAAAUGUUUAAAUAAAAAAAAUGAAAAUGUAGGAGUUUACAUUUCACACAGUAUUAUAAUCAACUAUCAUCAAAAAAAUAAAUAGAAUAUAUUUUUCAUAAAGACAUAGGAAGGAGAGCAGGCUACUGGCAUACCAUUGAUGGGAGUGUGUAACAGUAAGUUUGGAAGCUGAACCAAGGCAGAAAACACAAUUUUCCAGUAUGCCAGACGCCAACUUUACACCAAACACUAAAGCUGCAUUCAUGACAAGUCGGAAACUCUGAAAAUAUGACUUGUGAACUCGGAGCAACGAGUUGUGUGCAUUUACGUGCCUUGAACUCGUUGAGAACGCUGAUAGCUUAAUGGCAAACAAGCUGCGUCAAUAAUUUUGUAAACAAAUUAUAGUGUUAAAAAAAACAUAAAUAGCCCGUUUUUUAAUAAUAAUUAGUGGUUUGUUGUUGCAUUUAACUGCCAAAAAUGUCAUUAUCGAGGUACUUUCCUUAGUAGGUGAUGUCAGAGGUCAGCACAGGAAUGAUACCCGAAUUUCCCACUUGUAAAUAGUUCGAGGGCAGUUCAAAUGUUUUUUUCACUCGGAAGCUUGUAUUUCUGAGUUUCCAACAUGUCAUAAAUGCCUCAGGAUGAAAACCAAUAUAUCGUCUGAGAAAGGUGCUUGCAAACAUGGUUGUGUUAUGUCUUUUUUUCUCCUUCACUGCACUGUGGAAGAAGUGUGAAUGGAAAAACAGCAGGUAUACUGAACAAAUAUAUAAACGCAACAUGCAACAAUUUCAAAGAUUUUACUGAGUUUAUAUAAACGCAACAUGCAACAAUUUCAAAGAUGUUACUGAGUUACAGUUCAUAUAAGGAAAUCAGUCAAUUUAAAUGCAUUAAUUAGGCCCUAAUCUAUGGAUUUCACAUGAGUGGGCAGGGGCGCAGCCAUGAGACCAGCCACCUGGACAGCCAAUCAGAAUGAGUUUUUCCCCACAAAAGGGCUUUUUUACAGACAGAAAUACACCUCAGUUUCAUCAGCUGUCCAGGUGGCUGGUCUCAGAUGAUCCCGCAGGUGAAGAAGCUGGAUGUGGAGGUCCUGGGCUGGUGUGGUUACACACGGUCUGCGGUUGUGAGGCUGGUUGGACGUACUGCCAAAUUCUCUAAAAUGACGUUGGAGGCGGCUUAUGGUAGAGAAAUUAACAUUCAAUUCUCUGGCAACAGCUCUGUGGACAUUCCUGCAGUCAGCAUGCCAAUUGCACGCUCCCUCAAAACUUGCGACAUCUGUGACAUUGUGUUGUGUGACAAACUUUUAUUGUCCCUAGCACAAGGAGCACCUGUGUAACGCUAAUUUAACCUCUUGAGCAUCUGAUCCCGUUAGCGGGAUCAAA
rnacentral:lncRNA from 1 species